AGGUUAGGGUUAGGGUUAUGUUUUUAAAAUUGUAAAAUUUAUAAUUUAUUAAUGGUCUAUAUGCUAUUUAUAAAUGAUUAAACAUUCAUUAACUAUCUGCUUACCAUUUAUAAAUGGUCUAUUUACCAUGUAUAAGUUAUGGUUACUGUAAAAGUGUUACCAAAACUUUUCACCCAUCUGAUGAAAUGUCACAGAGCUUUUGAUUCAACAAUCAUUCAGUCAUGGUACCCUGAGGAUGCACCCAAUGAUUUUGGUGAUACAUGACUUUUUCUCUCGUAACACCAAGUGGCUCAUUAUGAUUCUGAAAGAUACACCAAAACUGGCCAUUUACUUGUACAACAUUUAUUUUGUAAGUAAGAAAACAUUGAUAUGCAAAUGUAUUGAAUGAAAAAUAUGAGAAUGGUAACCUUUACUGCUGUUUGAUUUAGAUAUUUUACCCAUUUUAAAUGCCAUUUAAAAUCGCUUAUAUGCAACAGAAAUUAUGGCAGGGCUUUGGCACAUUCACAUAAACUCAUAAUUUCUUAUCCAAUCUUCAUAAAACCUCUAAGAAACUUUUGUUUAUGUCAUUCCCAAGAAUGCAAAUUGUAUCUUCAUUUCCAUUUGUACAGAUUUUUGACAUCAGCAUUAAAAGCAUCUGUGGUCGCUGGCUGCUGACGCUGCUGAGCUUUCUGAAUAUAUUAAAGAUGCAGGAUAUACAUCAGGCCAGUUGGUUAUCAGCCUGAUAAAGGGGACUUUAUUACCCCCUCAAUCAGGGAGAUUAGUGGUUUGAGCCCGGCUCCAAAAGCCACAUAACAAAGUGUCCUUGGGCAAGACACUAAACCCCAAAUUGUUCCUAGUUGCAUCGCCAGUGGUGUGUGAAUGAAUGACAUUACUUUAAUGCUAAUGAUCCCAUACUGUAGCAGGCCCUGCUAUCAGUGUAUCAAUAUGGCAUGAAUGGAUGAAUGUGGCAAGUGCUUUUCUCGGGCAGAAAGACUGGAAAAGAGCUUCAGUACAAGUUUAUUUACCAAGUUAUUUAACAAUAUUGGUAAAAAAAACUACUGAUAAAAGUUGUUUAUAAGUUUUGAACAUGAUGAUUCAUGAUCUGAAAAUGAUUGUGUAUGUAAAUACAGCACUGUAUGGAGAGACGUUACAGAUCUACACAUACUAGAAUAUGUUAAAUAGGAUAAUCAAAAUAGAUCUAGCUUUUAGAUAUCUGUGCUGUGUCACACGUCUCAGGAUUCUGGCUGGACAUUGACCCAUCAGCUGAUAGAAACAACCUCUGAUUGGUUGACAGACCAAAUAGAACAGAUGGUAGUGUUUCUCUUGCGCAAUUAACUACUAAGAGAAAUAAUAUGAUUACACUAAAAUAAAUGCAAAAAAUAUCAGAUUACUUUCUUUUUUGAGAUUAGAUGGAUGCAGACAGUCGCUGAAAUUAAACUAAUCGUCUCUGUUGGAUAGAAAAGCUCCGUAAAUUCUUUACCUAUCAGUAAAGUUGUAAAAACACAAAAUCUAUUACUGAUAGGUAAAGAAUUUUACAGUAAGUUUCUGUUAUAUGCCUUAUUUAAGUAGCUGAAACUGUAAAUACUACAGUAUUUUGUUGUAUAGUAGUACAGGGUAGACUAAACUAAUUACCCACUCAGAGUGAAAGGCAACCCUACUUUUUCAGAUGUAUUUUAGGAGGGAAACAUCUUAUGUUUGGUCAGCACAGUCAGAAUUAGUAGUCUUGAAACCCCCUUGGAUUACAGUAAAUUAAAAAAAGAUAGUAAUUAGAGUAGACAGAGGUGUUUUUAUUUUGUGAUUGUAGAAUGGAGAUACAGAUUGGAUAUAUAGUCAUGUUAGUGAUCAAUUCACUGUGAUGAAUCGGCUGCUGUUUUUUGGUCAUGUUUUAAUGAAAAUAUGAAUAUCAUCAAGUUCAUUUAAGAUAAACUGCACAUUUUAAAGGACACAAAUGUAACAGCACAUUUAGAUUGUUUUGGUAAUGGCCAUUAGGAACAGGUUAUCUACAUCAUGCAUCCUCGGUUUAUCUCUCAAACUAACAAGAUGAAACAAAAGCACAGUGAAAUCUACAGAACAUAUGAGGUAACACCCCACUGUAUCGUCUCAUUAUGGUCUCUAUUUACAGUCCUGACAGCUCCUGUUUGAAGAAGAAGAAGUUCCCUCACUGAAACAAACCAGAUCAGACGUAAUCGCUAAGACCCUCAGGAAACAUAUCGCACAUUUCAGAGUCAUUUUAAUUUUUGAGGAAACAUUUCCGAUGCACCAAUGCAAUAGGAUGAAAAGAAUACAUCUAGUAUGUUGGUUUACUAAUGAAUCUUUAAUGGGAAAUAUAUUUGCUGCAAAUAACUCUCGUCAGACACGCCGUUUGCUGCAAAUAACUGCGCCGGAGACGGAACAAAAGAGACCCUGUUACAGACACAUCACUGGGUCCCUCUCAUCUAAAGCACCGUGAUUCAUCAUACUGAGUAAUAUGAUACUCACACAUUUGCAUAUUUGAUUCUAAUGUGCUGUUUGUUUACGGUAAUGAGCACUUGUAAUUGGAUUUUAAUUCAUUAUAGCAGAAAUGGCCUGUUGGCGGGACAGGUUUUUGUAGCGUCUACGUCAGUGAAGGUAUCAAUCUUCAUGUCGGUGCUGUAAGGUGUCUCUCGUUUCCAGAGGAGCCUUGAACUAAUCGGAUUUGUGCACUUGCAGCGUCUCUUUAAAGGGCUGUUUAGGGUUGUCUGUGACUCAGCUCAAUCAAAUCUAAUUGUUCAGCUCUCACUUUAAGUGUCUCCCACAUUGUGUUGCCAUUCAUGCAUCAUUUGUAUGUACAAUAAAUCCUCCAGCGGUGCUCAGGCGUUGUAGCGGCACAGCUCCCAGCAACUGGUAGAUGAAUAUCUCUCAGUCGUCCCCGUCCUGAAGACCACUGGAGAGUUUCAGCCACAUCAAUGGCGGGCAACCAGGAGAAGGACAUUGUGCUGGGUAAAUUAAAUCAUUGUCUCAGACUGCUUUAGUCGCAAAAGAAAUUGUAUUUCGACCAACUGGGAGAAUUCAGACUGAGAUAACCAGAAUGAGUUUCCAGUAAUGGUAAGGAGAAAUGGCGAGGAUUCAUAUUUAAGAGAAUGAACAAUAGGAAUCUCAUUUGGUUUCAGCUGUGUGAUCCAAAUUUUCAUGACGAAAGCAGAUUUAAAGUUUGAAAUUUGGAAAACUUCUUAACCCAGGGACCAUAUUCAUCGAAUCCAUCUGAUAUUACUUAAAAUGGAGAAAUUGAUAUUUUUAAUAGUUAUGUUUUAAAAAUGUAAAAGUAUGUUUUGUGAUAACAUCAAAAACUUGUGAGCACAAGAGACCCCAACUGAACCUCAUGUUCACACUGUAAGUGCAGAUUCAGACACUUUGAAGCAACAAAAUUAACUGAGCUUAAAUGAGCAACGAGAUAAUGAAGUUAACUCUUGAGAACAUUAAAAGGUUUUAAAUUUGUGAGUCUAAUUCCACUCAAAAUCACAGCUCUGAGACUUCUCUAAUUAAAGCAUUUACAGCAUUCCUGGUACUGUUCAAUCAAUGGUGCAGCUUAUUAAACUACUUUACAGAGUGGGGAACUGGGUGUGACUUUCUGACACAGUACGGUUCGUCUUGUAUUCAGGGUGAUACAAUAACUUCACAUCUGAGCAGACAUAGAUUCAAUGUGGAGUACCCCAAGGCUCCACUCCGGGGCCUCUUUUGUUUAACAUCUCUAUGCUUCCACAGGCUCAGGUUUUAGAAACAAAAGGUCACAGUAACUAUGCAAAGAACACGUUACCCAGAGACCAUGGUGUUGUACAGACCAAAUCAAUAAGUGAAUGUACCUUAAAGGGAUAUUCCGGCAUAAAAUUAAUUAAGGGUCAAUUACUGUAACACCGAGUUAGACACCCUCUCGAGAGAUGAAUGUUGCCGACUGCUUGCUUCUCUAGUUAUACCAACUUUAGUAAUGACCGCACGAUAGCAAUACACAGCGGUCUGAGGAGCCAUAAACAAACCUCAACCAAAACGCCACUCUAUAGCCACACCGCGGUAGUUCUUCUGCCUAAACGUCUCAGUCUGAUUGCAUUUCCAUGAAGAAAUGAUCAUAAAUGUUCUUCCUUGAGCUGCGUCACCCCGCAGCGGUCUGUAAUGGACUGGCCUGAGGUCUCGCUACAAACAAGCGGCUGCUGGAAGAGAGUCGGUGAGUUGUGUUUAGUCUCUUUGCUAAAGAAAUCAGGCAAAGUUAAAAAGAUGUUUGGUGGCUAGUACUGUGGCUAGGACCCUAUAUGUACUGAUGAUAAAGUUAGGUGCUGUUCUGAGCAUUAUUUGUGGCUAUAGAGUGGCGUUUUGGUUGAGGUUUGUUUAUGGCUCCUCAGACCGCUGUGUAUUGCUAUUCUGCGGUCAUUACUAAAGUUGGUAUAACUAGAGAAGCAAGCGGUCGGCAACAUUCAUCUCUCGAGGGGGUGUCUAACUCGGUGUUUGACCCCGGAAUAUCCCUUAAAUGUCCUCAAAACAUACACAUUCAAAUCAAACAUAAUAAUUUUAGAGUUACAGAGGAGGGGUUAAAGGUCAGCUUUGGUCAUUACAGCUAAAAACUGCUGAGAAAGCCAGAAAUCUGGGUGUGGUUAUGGACUGAGACCAAAUUUUUAUAAACCACAUGAAGAUCAUUACAAAGUCAGCCAACUGUCAACUCAAGUUGACUUGAUGACUGUAACAGAGUUUUAUAGGUCUCCCUCAAAAUCCAGACAACUCCAGCUGACUCAGAACGCUGCUGCGAGAGUCCCGAGACCAAGAAAGUGGACCACAUCUCCUCAGUUUUGGACAUUGGAUCCCUGUUUGUCAGAGAGAUGGUUUAUGAAUACUACAGCUGAAUGAUUUACAGCAUUACGUGAGUAUCAUCUUCUCAAACAGAUAGAACAGCCAGACAGCUGUGGUCCAGGACAGGUCUGCUUUCUGUCCCAGAGUCAGAACCAAAUGUUGGAAAACAGCAUUCAGUUUUUAUGCUCUGUGUCUGGAACAAUGUCUGCUCUACUGAAACUCUCAGGUUGAAAACUGGUUUGUUCACAGCUGCUUUUUUUUUUAGAUUAUUCUUAAAAAUUAUGUGAAUAUGUGUUUUAAUCAAACAACAAUAUACUGCCACUUUUAUGCUUCCAAUUUGGUGCUGUAAUAUCGAAUCUUAUUACUCUAAAUUUCCCUUUAAAUGGAUUUUAAAUAUUUUCUUUCAGUGUUUUUAUUCUAAGUUUUAUAACAGUUCUUUUAGUGUCUUGUGUGACAAACUUACAAGGAGUAUUAAAGUAUUUUUUCAUCUCUGAACCAGUGAAAUCAUCUUUAAAUCAAUAUUUUCCCUCAGUAGAUUUCUGUGCCCCCAUUUUUCUUGUUUGCCACAUAUCCAAGUCGUGUUUUCUGAAACAGCAGUCACACGCAGCUGCAGUCAAUCUGUCAGAGAAACAGCCUGAACAAAGACAGCCAAACUCUGUUUUUCCACUUGUUGUGAUCAAUGGGUGGACACAGCUGACAUUUACUUGAAAGUGCUUUGAAAGGUUUAUUGAAAUGUUCACGUAGAUGCGCAGCCCUCGAUUAAACUUUGUGAAAACUUUUCUGUGAUGAGCUGCUCUAGAAAAAGUCGUCUAAGUCAUGACUCCGGUUCAAAAUUCAGGAAACACUUAAAAAGCCGAACACGCACCAAGAAGAUGAAGAGUCGAGUAUAUAUUUGAUCCACCUCUUUCUAAAGCACCUUGGAAGUCACCUUUUAAGGCUGUUUUAUUACUUCUUUUAAUGCAUUCAACUUUCUGUUUCUUUUUGUGUCAGAAUCAGGGACAAAUCUCUUUUUCAUAUACUUUUAUAUAAUCUCUGCUUUUUUUCUCGACUGCUUUCAAACAUUUAUAAAAAUCUCGCCUGAGUGUUAAAAUCACUUAUUUAGAAAACCUCACCACAUCUCCCGGUUCGGAUUUGAUCUCCUGAAGGCCUGCGCACAAAAGCACACACACUUUUCUCUUCCAUUUUCCAGAGAACAAAAUGGUCUGAACUCCCAUCCUCUUAACAAGAGUGAGCUGAAGCUCAGAGUGCAAUAUCAAACCGGCAGCUCUUACUCCCAGCUCAUGUUGCCAUGGCGAUAAAGGGUGAAUCCAUAGUUUCUUCCCUUUGCCGGGUAACUAAUUCGGUUAUUCCGACGUGAGAGAUGGACUCCGUCAGUUAUACAGUCGGGCUGCAGAGACCACAAUGAAAAGAGAAUUAAAUUCUAAAUAUAAAUCUGUUCACUCACUUCAUACAGCGUGAUUGAAAGACACAGAGUAAGAGGAAGUGAAAGUGUAGAGAGCUGCAAACAUCAUGUUUAAGACUUAAUAAAUUAGCACUUAUCUUCUCAUUUUCUACUCUUGCAAGCGGAAAAACAACUCUCAGUUUUAACAGAAGCUACUGUCCUAACAGCAUUUUGAAAAAUGUUUUUAAAGUCUGUUUUCCUCUUUACGUUGUUUGAGACCUAGUGCAUAACUUAAACAGUAAUGCCAGAGUACACUGAUUUUACAAUGACUGACAUAGAUAUUUGGAAAAUAGUGAGUUUUUUCCAAUCUAUCCAGUCCCAUCUGUCCACUGAUAAAGGCUUUUUAACGGGCCAAAGGAAUGUGUCGUUCAUUAACGUUUCAUUCAAAAGAAUAGAAAUGCUGAGUGAACAACGUGAACGGAAUCACUCCGAGACCUGAUUCGUUCCUUUCUCAGUUCGGUUGCAUGCCGAUCGGGAGAGGAACUGCCGCUUUUGACUCUUUGACGAACGACACACAGAUUUGUAUCAGUGAGUCUGGGAACGACAUGGUGAACGAAACGAACGACCUCCGAAUGACUUGAGGUGGGCAGAGGAGGGAGGGGUGUCGCGUCGUUCAAUUACUGCCAAGCAACAGUGCAUUAUAGUGCCUUUACAUUAACACACAUUUAUAAACUUUCCUGCAAGAGGGAUUUAAUUUCAGCCGAUUUAAAGCAAUAAGCUAUUUGAUAUAUUUAAAAGUAGCAGAACAACAUGUGUCACCCAGCAAACGAUGACGUGACUUCAGCAGCAGGGGAGGGGAGGGGCUUGUUCAAUGAACGAACUCGCGGCUGUGUCACUCACUGGUGUACUGCACCGGCAGGAUGGGGCUCUGAAGCACUGACUGAUUCAGUGAAUGAAUCUUUUAAAAUCGUUAUAAUGAACAGAUUCUAAAGAUUCAGUUCAGUCAAAAGAACUGUUCUUCCCAUCACUACUCCAAAGCAGGUGUCCAAAUAUUGGUGUUAUGGUCUAAUCUCCUUAUUCCUGUUUUCUGAUCAAAAAUGCAAGUUAAAGAAGCUGAACAUUAAGCUUCCAUUCUAAUCACAUCUUCCAUUUUUUAGCGAUUCUAAAAUGCACUUGCCCUUUAGAGUCAUCUGUACAUGAUGGUUGAUGGAGUGGUACUGUAAGCAAAAGGAGCCCAGAGAUGUUAACAGUUCAACUACAUGUUCUCCAGAGCAAAGUGCCAUAUGGGAAGAAGAGCUCCAGCGGUGCUCCAUAUGCUCAGAAAACAAGGACGGCUCAUAAAUGUUGGAUGUGAAAAUGCAGAAGUUCCAUUUCAUGUUAAAUAAUGUCGAAUUAAAAGCACCACUGUCACGUAUUUCCUGCUGUUCGUCUGCAGAUAUAUGCUCUCUGAAGAAAGAGUAUAGCUCUAUAUUAUAUAGAUGAUCUGAACAUGAGAUAAAAAGCUUGACACACUGCCCUACUUACUAGGUCUGUGACAAAGGCAGCACUUAAAGAACAAUUUCUCGCCUUUACUUUAGUGGAAACAAAGGCUUCCUUUUACACUGUGAGAGUACUUUGAGUUAAAGCCAACAUAUCUGUUUGUAUUAAAAAGUCAAUGCUGUGGCUGAAAUACACUUUUUCUGAUGCAUUAAGGGCCUGUGUCACAUACUGAGGUCUGAUUGGUUGAAAUUAUUUGAAUUCUGAUUGGUUGAAAAUCCUAUAAUAAUGGUAAUUAAUCCUAAACAGCAACACAAGGUCACAUAUCUUGUAUGAAAUCAGUAUCUGGAGAGAAAUCUAGCAUGUUUUAUCUCUGCCUGCUGGUCUUAAGUGUAAGAAUAUUAUCCAGACCUUUCAAAAUAUCAUGCUGGCAUUAAAAUGUACUUUUACUCCUUAGUUCUUCUGGUGCUGACUAGCUAGGGGGGUAAUCUUUGAGCAUUUCUUCAACUAAUGCUGCUUUCAAGUUAUCUCAGACGUCGGAAGUUGGAGCUGUGAAUGACACUACUCCCGAGUUGACAGCGUUCCAGUAAACAAGUCGCAAAACCAAGAUGGACGCCCACUGUUAGCCAUUGUCAGCUGUUGUUAGCUAUACCAGUAAUCAACAACACAUAACACAGUAUUUUACUCUUACAAACACCAUAGCACCGUGUUCACAGUUGGGCAGUCUUGGUCUCGAGACCAUUUUUGAGGGUCUUGGUGUCGUCUCAGAAUCCACGGCAUUUUCACCCAGUCUUGUCUCUGUUUCAGUCCUUUCUUGUCUCUGUAAUGUCUUGGUCUCGGUUGGUGCGGUCUUGACUACAACACUAUCACCCACUAUUAUCCCUUUCUCUUUAAGCUGGCAGUGCCAAUGUCUAUUCAAAAUCAGAGCAGGUUACCAUCUUCAGCUCUCACUAUUUUGAUACAAAUUUUCCAAUUCCAGUGUUUUCAUUCAACAUCAGCGUGCCAUUCUUACCUUUCAAUGCUGAUUGUAGAUUAGUUAAUUUCAGCCUCCAGUCACUCCCUUUCAUUACAUGUCAUUGUUAGAUGACAAAGAACUACACAAUCAGAAUAGCCAAGGAGAGAAAAAGACGGGAACACUUAAGGAUUUCUUUGUAGUCGACAUGAUGUUAGAAAAUGCAUCUCCUGGACAGCGUGUUGGGGACAUGGAUGCACCAGCGACAAAGAAGGCUCACAGUUUGCAGAGAGAGUGGCUGAAAGAAUUUUAAUGGCUCCACUAUGAAAAUGACACUAUACACUUGCUGCAACCACUCCUGUAUUCGCUCAUUUUUUUUAUUAUUAAUAACAGAAAUCUCAGUUCAUGUAUUGUAGUUGUGAUGCUCUUUAAUUUUCAGUGGGUAAUCCUACAUUUUUGAUGGUGCUUAUAACUUUUUGAAGUUGGGAGCAGCUGGGGUGUGGCGUUCAAUGUCGAAUUCAAAUUGGACCCCAAGCCGAAGAACGAGAACCAUAGAAAUGCAGCUUUUAUACCAGACAGACAUAUUCCCUGUAGCCCAAAAUGUACACCAAUAAACAAAGCAUUUUAUCAUAGUACAUGAUUGGGAUGCAGCUCAUUUAGCAACUUGUCAUUUUGUCAUUGUCUGCUAUGAUUUUCUCAGCAGGACGCUGCAUGAAAAGAUGGAAUAUUUGAGGAUAUUUGGUUUUUAAUUAUUUAAAGUCCUAUCAUCAAAGUAGUCAGUCAUAACCGGUGCACACAUAGUUUACUAAUCAGGAUUUUUGUCAUAAAACAAGUAAAAUAGAAUAUCUGAAAAUGUCACAUCUUAAAAUACAUGAUUUUGACUGAAGGUAAUGUGACCAAAUCAGUGACACAAUCCUUUCAGACAGAUCCAGAUAUGCUCCACAUUUGAAAAAGCUGUAUUCUGACAAUAUCCAGCCCAUUUCAUCAGAUUUGGGUCAUAUCUCAAAAGAAACAUCCGUGGAUUCAGUGGCAUUUUGUGCAUUGGGAACAGAUAUGUAACUACGGCUCUAAGAUGUGAUCUGGUACCAAAUAAAGGUGAAAUGUAGGAUUUAAUCUCAGUGUUACUUUCUUAGUUUUUCAAUGAUCCCUCAAAAACCUUUAAAGAAAAUCCUGAAGCUCAGAAAUCUUGAUGGAAAACUCCAAAUAAAUGUGCUAAUGAAGAACUAAACAAAAAAAAAAACUGUGCAGGUAAAAAAUGAGGAUCCAUGUGAAAAAGCAUGAGGAAAAAAAAGGUAUUGAUUGAAAAGUUGUCAGACAGAUGUACUGCCAGUAAAACUCCCCACACUCUCCGUUAAAUCUUUCAAAACAGACAACUCUCUCUUCCAACUCUUGCCAAAAAAAUGAUGAUUAAUCUCCCCUCUCAUAUCCAGAAAUCUCCCGGUGAUUGAAAAACAAACUGACUGCAAAUCUUUGAGUCAAUAUUCAGACAUUUAGCUCAUAAAUCAGACAGUAGCUGUACAUACAGUGUUGUUCGAGUGGCCAGAUGGACUCAUCAUAUCCUCAAAUUAAAUUAAUCAAGACAAAGGACAAAAAAAAAAAAAGCACUUGGAAGUCAUGAUUAAGAAACGCCAGGACAGAUUCAGGGAAGUAAUUUUAUUAAAGGCCAAGAGUCCUUGAAACGGCCUUUCGGUAUUACACUCCAUAUCUGAAAUUACAGAUCAAAAGCCAUGAAUGAAUGAUUUCUCUGUGACCUGGGUCUGUGGAGACGGCGCUCUCACAAAGGCCGGUGGAGGAGCUUGAAGAUGAAGAACACUUGAUACCGGCCCCCCGCUGCACACCGCACACACUCUGAAGGAGGCAGCGACAGCGGUCUGCUGCUCCCUGGGUGCACUUAAAUCAUCUACCCUGAUAAAGACGCCGCUAGAUGGGAGCCUCAUUGGAAUUUUAAAACCGCAACCAUAAACAAGGCGUAUGCUACUUUUAGAGGUGGCAGCGGCAGGCGUAGCAUGAGCUAUUACUCCAGGGUCUUACCGCUAACUGGCCGGCAGUCCUUGUUUCUCCUCAAUUAUACUGCAGCCAUUUCUCCCAGUUGUGAAACAGGAAAGAGCAUUUCCCCGCAUGGAGCUUUACAAUACUGCGCUUGCAUACAUUAGCAGGGCGCGCUGUCUUUAAGGAGCGUGUGCCGGCAUGAGGAUUCAGGGAAAACUCCCGCACUUUGGAUACAAGGUGUAACUCUGUGAUAGCAAAGAGGAAGAUACGGCAAGUGUGACAAUCUACAUGUGCAGCUGCCACCUCAGCUGCGUGGGAUUAAUAAGAAAUGAAUAAAUAAAGUUUUUUUGUUUUUUUUUUUCCUUGCAACCUCACCCCGAGGGACGUUAUCAGUGUAACAGGGCCCGGCUUCACGUCGCUCUAAAAUGUCAGCCACGCAGACCCGCGCCGCUGUCCAUUCUUAAUGAUGCAAAACACCAAUCAGGCUCGCUCUCUACCUGCCAGCUUCAGAGUCUUCCCUCCAGAAAUACACAAUAGGCAGAGGGCGGAUCUAUGCGAGGAGAGGAUGAAAAGACGACAGGAGGAAAAAAGGGGGUGGUGGUUGCAGAGCUGACAUGAAACAUUUAAGAAUGAGGCGCACUGUUGCACGCUUGCGGUCCACCUCCACUCUGAGAUGAUGUACUUUUACAGCCCAGUCUGUCUACUCUGAAUGUACAAACAGGCAGUGGGAUGUAGGAUUGCUAAUUUGGGAAGCGUGCGGCACGUCUGGGACAACACCGUCGUCACUGGGAGAGUAAUGAGCGCCGUUAUAAAUUGGCUGAAAUGAGAGGAUGAGACACGGGUUUCCAAAAGCUUUAAUCAUUCCAUUUUGUCAGGAUUGAGGUGUGUCUCCGUCUCCUCCUCCUUCUCCUCCUACUCCUGUCUCAUCCCUGAUUCAGGCCAACUUAAAGGAACGCCGUUGGUUGCUAUUUCCAGCACACGAGCGUCUCCGGUUGAGAAACAGCUGGGUGGAAUUAUGUUGCGAGUGUUGUCAAAGAGGAGGAAUGACCAAAUUAGAGCUCUAAAUCUUCAACUCCUCCUGAAGACGUGUUCUCUGUGCACAAACACAGGGUUAUGUACGAUCCCGGAGGAUGUAGAGCGGUGAGGGCGGUUAUAAAUGUAAAGCGGUUGUGUUACGAAGCGUGCAGGAUGACCCUGUGAUUACAGACCAGACCAGUUCAGAUUUGAAACAUGGAGGUCUGACUCUGGGAUGAUCACUGAAGACUUAAAAUAAUCAUAAAAUAUCAUAGUAAUGAUUUUUUUUAAAAGACUGGAAACGAGUAGCAUGGAGGUGAAACACUGAUGUUUAAAAAAUUUAAAAAAGAUACAGCUGCAACUCCAGAUACCUGUCUCUUAUCACCUGAUCUGCAGCGAGGCCACAGAAAUAAACCUGAAAUUAAUGACUCUGCUUUGCAUGAACUAUCUCAAAAUAACUUGUGCAAACUAAAACCUUCAACACUUAAUUUCUUCUCUUUUUAGGAUCACUUCAAAAUAUUGACAUCAGACAACAUCUGUCUUGUUUGUGAGAACAGGAGGUACAGUUUCAGGUUAAUGGGGAAAGUUGGUGAAAGUACAAAAUUAAAAUACUUGCAGAGAGAAACGUGACGAGAACAUUGUGCUGUCAGUGUUUGAGGAGGAAACAGAGGUUCAGCCAUUUACUGGUAUGGCAUUUACCAUCUACUUUAACUAGGACAUGGUGUUCAGGUUCUUCAUCCACCACUGUUUUUUUUUUUAACUUUGAUAUUUCUUGGUUUUGGCCGCCCUGAUAUCCAAAGCCUUGAUUGACUAUUUGAGAGAGAAAAAUCACUUUUCUCCUGCAGAGCUCCAGUAGAUCUUUAGCAAUUCACCUCUGAGUCGCAGGCGGAGACAGCGCUGCUCUGGACACUCCUCUUCACGCUAGCUUGUAGCCUAACAUUGCCGGUGUAGUAGAAGAAACAAGUAACAUAGGAGCUAUUCAGCUCUUGGACACUAUUGUCUUUAGGGGCAUGAUAAAAGCUAAUAUCAUUAUUAGCUUUUUUACGAGCAUUGCAAUCCGCUAACUAAAGGCUGUUUCGCAUCUGUCAAUUUUUUUGUCUGUAAUUCACUGUAUUAUGUAUUGACUGUUAAUGAAUGUAAUUAAUUGUACUAUAUGAUGACUGUGUAUCAGUGUCUGGACACCAGGAAGAAUAGUCCUGACUAAGGUCAGAACUAACAGGGAUCCAUAAUAAACAAACAAACACAGACGCUUGUUCCGCGGUCGUCCUCUCUAUUUCUCCGAGCCUGACCUGCUUAGUGGGACUCGGGGGGCGGAGCUUGGAUUGGUUACGUAGGAAAUCUCACUGUUUCUGAACCUGCUGUUUGGGUCUGCCAGAGAUUCACAGCAAUUUGAAUGAAGAAAUACUCAGAGAUGCAACUUCGCAUUUAGUUUUCUCAUGAUAUGUCCUCUAGUAUCAGAAAAAAUACAUGAACAUGUAAAAAACAUGAAAAAUGUGAUUUACCUCGGAGUGGGUCUUUAAGAGUAAGUAGAAGUGAUUCCCAGGUGUUUACCAUGCUUGGCCAUCCCUACAAUACUCAAAAAAGUCUGGUUCUGCCUCUGUAACCAUCUCCUCAGUACUCAUUAAAAAAAAUGACUCUGUUCCGCUGAAAGAAAGGUCAUCACAAACAUAAAUCUCAGGGCGCCAGUUUGGCCUAUAAUGGUGAAACUCUGUGACCCACAAACAGAGGCUAUCGGCAGAGGGUCCAGGUUCAGUUCUAAUCCAUCAUCUCUUGGCCUCUCUGAGUAAAAGUAUGAAAACAAAAGUCUAAUACAAAUUAUCCCAGUGGACAAAUCAGGUUUAAAGUUUAACAACUAAGUUUCCCAACCAUGUCUGUUAUUGUAUCCCAACAAACAAUAAAGACAAACACGUACAUGAAAGCACUCUUUUGCUUCAAACUUGAUUGAAAGAUAACUUAUUACAAAUUAUUACCACUACCUAGGGUGACCAUACAUCCUCUUUUAAUAAUAAUAAUAAUUCAUUUAUUUAAAAGCGCCUUUCUGAGCACCCAAGGACACUUUACAGGGCAUAAAAACACAGCUAGAAACAUAAUUAAAAUAAAUAAAAAACAACAUACAGGUGUGAAAGUAGACAGUUAAAGUGAGUAUGCGAUUCGGAAUAGGUGUGUUUUGAGAUUUUACACGGACAUGUCCUCUUUUUGGGGAUGCUGUCCGGCCUUUUCCAAGGAAGUUUAUAAAAUCCUUCAAAUGUCCGUGGGUCAAAUGGGUUUGUAUGGAAGUUUAGAGUUUCUGUCACGUGGUUAGAUUUAGAAGUGUGUAAAAGACACUCGACCUGACCUAAAAAACUCUAAAAAUUUACUACACGUGACUCCGUGACUCCACCCCCACGUAAUUGUGUCCUCUUUUUGGGGUUUCAGAAUAUGGUCACCCUACUGUUACCAUAGAAACGGCCCAAUAAUCAGUCACUUUUUAAUGUUUUAAGUUAGAGAAGUUUUGAAAAAAAGCGUAGACCCUGCUGAAGUGCUUCAUAGCAGGGCAUUGAGCACAGAUCUAAAACCACUGAGUUUUAUCUGAACCUCUUCUUUGCUCUGCCCUAGAGAUGAAAUAUACGACUGUCAUGUAAAAAAAGCUGAUUUGGUAAGUCAUACUCAGUUUGAGUGACUCAGCUGUUUUAAAAAUAUUUUAAGUAUAGUACGGCUUAGCAAUCAGGACAUUCAUCCUCACUGAUGCCACGAUGCCUCUUUGUCAGUUUGACAGUCAGAUAUUCUUACGUUCCCUCAUCAUUAUCCAAGACAAUGCCACAUCUUGUUUCAAGCAAACCGCUCAGUAGAAAUAUAUAUAUAUUUAGAUAAAGAGAGCUAUGUCAGAGGCUUUGAACAUAUAAAUAAGCGGCCUAUUUUAAGAAGCCGUCUUCCUCACAUCAUCCUUUCAGAGUCCUCUCAAACAGGAAUUACUUGUGAAAGUCAAAGGUACUCUUUGACAGAAGAACAAGGUGCAAUGUUGAAUGUGCAAGACGGCAAAUGUCAGACGGUUGUUUAUCAGGAAAGAUGCUGAACAUCAGUGCUCUUUUGCUGCCUUUUUAGCUGCAGUAUUUUCGUGCCAUUGCUGAGGGAGCACCGUGGCGCUGCGAGGGAUCAAUUGAUGCCUUUUUUUUUUUCUAAACGCGCUCGGUGAACGGCGUAUUAACAGUGACGCUUUGUGAUCACACAUGCAACCUGAGAUGCAAAAGACAUGAGAAGUGUGAAAGUUCUUACCAACUUUUCUCCUGAAGUGUAUUCUCAACAUGGGAAGUCAUUUUAAGUGUUAAAACCCCCAGAAAAUAUGAAGUUUGACUUUUGUUGCUCGUCUGGAAUAAAUGCAUGAUUUCAGUGCUUGCUGUGGGGGUGUUUUUCCAUCUGCAGCUAUCAGGUCAUUGUAGUUUAGAUAUAAAUAUCAGAUUUUACAUUCAGUGGGUUUUAAUUGGCUUUAAAAGUUAUAGGGGGUCGUGCCAUCUGUACACUUGGUGUGAUGUUCUCCAAGUCCAAAGGGCCUUCGGCUGCCCCCCUAAAGAUUGUGUGCUGACUCAUUUUGCCAAGACUUAUCUGGAUCUUUGCUUUUCCUCCUGCAUCCUUCCUGCACACAGAGUUCUGAAUUAACAAGACUAUGCAGAUCAGUUUCAUGUUAGAGUCAGUGUUUCUCAAAAUGACUACAAAGGUCUGUGUGCUGAGCUGCUACAAAGUUGUUUGUAUAAGUCGGUAUAUUUCUGACCCUUCAUGAAGGCUUUAGGGGCUUCGACCUGAGCUACUGCGAGCUUGUUUCGAGGUUCUUAGCUUGGUUUGUUUUCCUUUACUUUCAGGUGUUUGUGUGGUUUAUAAAGGGAGAUCAUUACUUUAUCAUUUCCUUGAAGUAAUAAUCAUCAUAUUGAUUAUUUUGCACUGCAGAUGCAGUAGUUCUUCUGCCUUAGCGUCUUGGUCUAAUUGCAUUUCCAUGAAAAAAAUUAUCAUAAAUGUUCUUCCUUGAGCUGCGUCACCCCGCUGUAGUCCGUAAUGGACUGUCCUGAGGUCUCACUACAAACAAGCGGCUGCUGGAAGAGAGUAGGUGAGUUGUGUUUAGUCUCUUUGCUAAAGAAAUCAGGCAAAGUUAAAAAGAUGUUUGGUGGCUAGUGCUAUGGCUAGGACCCUAUAUGUCCUGUUGAUGAAGUUAGGUGCUGUUCUGAGCAUUAUUUGUGGCUAUAGAGUGGCGUUUUGGUUGAGGUUUGUUUAUGGCUCCUCAGACCGCUGUGUAUUGCCAUCCUGUGCUUGUUACUAAAGUUGGUAUAACUAGAGAAGCAAGCAGUCGGCAACAUUCAUCUCUCGACAGGGUGUCUAACUUGGUGUUUGACCCUAAAUUGAUUUUACACCAGAAUAACCCUUUAAGGACUUUGGGGGCUGCAUGCUGAGCUGCUGCUAACUUCCUUGUCAGUGCAAAGCCUAUAUUCAGUUCAUGUUUGUUUUAAAAAUCAUGAGACUGGAAAAUCUGCAUUUCUCUUUAUGAAGGUUUUAUGAGGCUAAGAGCCGAGCUGCUAUUAGCUUAUUUUUGUGUACUUAGUUUGAGGUCAUAUUUGUACUCCUUCAAUCUUAAGUAGUUUUGUAAAAUUCUUUCCGUCUUCCUUAAAGGUCUUUAGGGACUGCAAGCUAAGGCCGCCUUUUGAACCAUGCACUACUAACAUACCAGGUGCUUCCUCUCCAAUGCAGUACCAUGCAGUUUUGAAGAAUUUGCUCAGAGGUCUAUCGAUUCCUGUCUUUACUUAUUUUCGUAUAGACUUAACCUCUUUGGAGUGCCUUUUUUAUACCCCACCAUUAAACUAAUCUAAUGUAAAUGAUGUUAAAAAUGGCUGAAAAUAAUCUUGAGGCUGGUUUUGCAUGAAUCUACCAUCAAUCCUGAAACAAUCUAAGCUUCUUUCUUUGAUUGUUUAUCGUUCUGUUUCUAAAAAGUUAAUCCCCUUCACAGCUGUUAAUACUCCGUCAAUUAGAAGGUGAGAAUCACAGUGCAUGACUUGUUGUCAUGGCUGUCUGGCUAACCACUGAUCAUCCUCAGAUCAAAGAAUAACACAGACAUUGAUUUCAGUGCAACUGAAUCUCCAGCUCUGGAACAACAAGUCAAGCGUGGGAGUCGACAGACAAAAACAUUCUCUGUUCCUCAACCCUGUUCACCCUCAAACUGCCAAAUGUACUUUCUGAAGGUAUGUUUGUUUUAUUUUUCUUUUUGGAGAAUAUGCAAAUGUGUGCAUUUGGACAGAAAAACAACCAGAGAUCUCACAGUUCAUCUGCCUAAGGUAUCAAAUCCUGCCUCGGUGCUGUAGGUCUGACAGAGGAUGUACACAGGGGUGAACAAGGAUUUUAAGUCUGGCGGUGAGCAAACCUUGAAAUAGCUGCAUCUCAAGUUCUGUGUUUGUUGUGUUUGUGGUGCACAGCAAUAAACCCCAGAAAGGUAAAUACUUUCCAAAGAUGAAGAGGAUACAUCUGGAUUGUUUUUCUGUUCCAGCAAACUCUGAACUCGCUUAUUAUCGUGGUCAUAGCUGCUUUAGUCCUCAGGUUAUGGACGCACAACUCAGCCUCUCGUAUGCACUACAGUUGACCAGCUGGCCAAGAGAUUGUUAAACUCGCUUUUUCAGCCAAAUAAGAUGCUGCUCCGCUCUAAUCCGCCUGGCCCUUGUGUGUGCUCUUUGGCCUGAAAACCGGUUAUCAUUUCUCCUCAGACCGCUGACUGGAUCCCUGGGCCCUACAGUGCUCCAAGUAAUGCUGCUAAUGAGCAGGAGGAGGCUGGAUAGCGGGGAUCAAUGCUCCGAGCCGUGUGUCGGAGAAGCAGCUGGCCUAACCUGACCGGCUGCUGCCCUGCGUGCAACGAGGCCCUGCUGACUCGAACGCUGCUGAGUCGCUCUGGGCGACACGGGCCUAGGGGUGUGGAUGUUUCUAUAAUCACCUGUUAUCUCCGGCACACCAGCACCUGAGCCUCUGAUACUCAGGACCUCUGUAUAAGUAUUACAACAGGUCUCUUACACAGUCUUCUGCUCUCUUAUAUCUGAGUAUAUACUGGAAUAAGUCGGUUUAUAAUGCACUUUAACUGUGCUGUGCAGUGGGUUGUUCUAAUGAUCAUUUCUGUGUCUUGCAUGAUGGUUUUUAAUGAAACACAUAGUCGAGUCCACUGGCUCAGGGUUAGUCUUGCAUAUGCAGCCCUUUUUUCCCAUAAUGUGCUGUGCAAAGACUGGAAAAUAGUCUGAGUGGUUUGUAUUUCUUAAAAACGAUCAUGACAUGAAGGAACAUUUGUUCCGCUGCCCCCUCAAAAAUGUCAUAUUUUGCAUUUACAAAACAAAAAGACAGACAAAAGCCCCGUCUUAUAACAUGAUUGACACCAUUUUAAUGUGUAGGUUGCUCUUUAGGAGGCUGUUGUGCAAAAAGCUCUGAUCUUAUUAAGUGUUUGUGUCUUUUUUAUGGUUUAAAAUGUCUUUUUAGGUUUAAUUUAGGGCACAGUUACCUGACAAAUCCAGAAAAAAAUGUCUUAUUUUAAAAUGAAAUUAAAAGGAAUGAAUUUGCUUGUAAUGAGUGAAAAAUUUGGCCAGUAGAGUAAGAAAAAGUCACUUCGCCGUGGACUGAAUCUAGAGUUCCAGGACAGGAGAGUAAAGGUGGAGCCAGAGGAGGCGGUAGAGAGAGGAUUUCUUUUUGACCAAUCAGAUAGUCAUCACUUAGCCAAUUAGACAUCUUCAGUCAUCAUUUAAAUCAGCCAAUCAGAUUAUCAGAGAGCUCCUAUAUUAAAAUAAACAGGAGAAUAGAGACACAAUGAAAAUAUGAUAAAUAAGCAAGUAGCAGCGUCACAGUAAGAGAGACAUGGUUCAAAUCUUGGUUAAUACCUGUAUCUUUAAAGUUUGGAGAAGCUUUUGAAUGACCAGAACGAACGAGAAAGUGAGGAAAAGUGGUGUAGUGGUGUAGAUCUCUGCCAUUUAGUCUAGGGUGACCAUACGCCUUCUUUUACCCGGACAUGUCGUCUUUUUGGGGGGGCUGUCCAGGCUUGUCCAGCUUAAUAAAAUCCUUCAAAUGUCCAAAGUUUUGCACACAAGUUUCAAGUUUGUGUCACGUGGACUUCCUGAAUUAGAAUCACAUAAAAGACACUUGAUUCAACCCAAAAAACCCUCAAAAUUAACUCUGUGCAACUCUGUGACUUUGCCCCCACGUAGUCGUGUCCUCUUUUUUGGAAGUCAGAUUAUGGUUACCCUGGUUCAGUUCAAGAGUUCUGGGUUCAAAUCUAGACUGGUGCCAAUCCACUUGAAGUUGGAAGAAAGGUUUGAAAACAUGAGAACUGACAGUCAGCUCAGAAGUUUAGUGGUGAAAGUUGGUGCAGGCCUGUGUUGAAUAGAUAUGACUCCUGCCUUUGAGUGGCAUGGUUGUAGGUUCGAAUCCCACUCCGAGACAGUAAAAAACUAAGACAUAUGGUGUGCAAUGUUAAGCAUAGGAAAGGAAAGUUCUAACCCUCGAGAGGAGAGGGUAACAAAAAUAUCCCUGACUUCUCUUGCCUGUUUUUAAAAAGUUAAUUCAGCUGAUUUUUUUUUUUAUGUUUUACAUGCUUUAUUCUGCCAGACAAAUGUCCAUUUCUCCAUCCUCUCAAUAAACGCAUGAAGACUUGUUAUUAAAUUCCCAUCAUUUCUGACCCUGUGAUUAUUUUCCUUGUCUUUGCUUUUAAAAGAUGUCGAAGAAAAUCAAUCACACAUUGAACCCCAAAAGCCUCAAAAAAGAAAGACAUGUGAAAACAAUAACCCCGGAGUACAUGCAGUUGAUACAGUUUUCCUCAUCGUUGCAUCAUUUUCUGUCCGGCUUAUUUUCUCGCUCUCAACUAACAGGUGACUUUGAGCACAGUUUGAAAAACCUAAACAAACAGCUUGUCAGAACAUAAAGUGAAAACAGCCACCGUUAUCAGGGCCAAUUUCAGAAUGGAUUAAGGGUCUUUAAGUGCCUCUCACUGACAGAUUGUGAUUUCACCGUGCAGCCAUGCUGAGUCAUCGAGCGGUUCAAGCGGCUCACAUAAGUGGGCGGAUGUUCACUUCAUGAGAGGACUCUCAUAUGGAAAUCAGAGAGAGAGAGAGAGAGAGAGAGAGAGAGAGAGAGGACAGUUCUGCCAGGUCACCUUUGUCCAUGACAUUAAAUCGCGUUAUGUGUUGUGGUCUAACAUUUCAUGACUCUGUCAGUCAGCUAUGAUACUCGUCCCAGCCCACAGAUCAUUAGCGGGAUCACAAGGUUACAUAAUGGAUCUGGAUUCACUUAAUCUGUUCAAUUUUUGUACACAACACUGAAACUAAACACUACUAAUUUACACAGUAAUAAUUGAGUAUAGUGUUAGUUCAGGCAGGCUGCCAAGUCAGCUAAAGCCAACACUUCAUCAGCUGAUGCUAAUGCUGCCUCAUAUCAACAGACAGCCUGGUGGAUUACUUUCUGCAAACCCAACUGGCAACUGUAAAACUGUAAAGGUGUUCAUUUAAAGGCAUGGUUGAUGAUCUGAGAAGCAGCUGAAAAAAUCAGAGGCGUUGAGGCAGAUUUGAAAAAAGCGUCUCAUCCCCCACACACAAACCUCUCCCCUCUGUGCUCCAUUAUAACUCUCCCUCCAAACCUGUAUCGCCCUCCCCACAACACACCCCCUCUGGCAGAGCAAGAAGCCGGCCAGCGGAAGAUCCUACGCUAGCUUCAAAUAGGAUUCACCAUGUCGGAUUGCUGGUGACUAGCGGCAGUAAAUGCCAGCUCUGCUAGCUAGCACCGUCUGCAGCUGCCUGGACAGCUACCGUGUUGUUCCUUGCGGAGCUUUCUCCACCACUCGAAGGAUGACCCGAGUUAGAUUCCUCACUUGGUCACAUUUCCCCUUCAACUCUCCCCUUUCUUCUGUCUGCUUGCGUUUUCGUCCUACUUUUGGCGGUGGGGCUAGCAAAAGUGUUUUUUUGCGUCCUUCUCCAUCACAGCUCCUGUAGCUAAGCUGCUACGCUACUUUUAGCUGCUCAGAGCUCCGAGGAGGGCCGGGAGAGUGGGAGGGGACGAGUCAGAACUAUGGGGGAGGGGUGUGUUGAAUACAGCGAGGUGAUUGGAUGGAGAGGCGGAGCAGGAGAUUGACCAAUAGGAGCUGUCCCGGAUGGAUGGCUCCUAUUGGUUAAUGUUUGAGCAGCCCUGCACCUGCUAGGUUGAACGUAUUUUUCCGUUCUUUUUGCUCUUCACUUUGUGGAGAUCACACUAUAGGACCAUGAUCGCCAUAGAAACGAGGUUCAUGAUAAUUACCAAUCCCCAAAUCGUCAACCAUGCCUUUAAGCUACUUUUGUCCCUGAACUACUCAGCCCUACAAAACCACUCAACUGCUUUCAGCUCAUUGUUUCGGUUUCACUGCUUCUCUUUUUCCAUUUAACACUGAGUCACUCUUACCAAUCUCAUCAGUGUCGUGUUUAGAUGCAGGAGGCACUUUCAAGCUUGAUACUACUACUUACUGCUCGAUACUAAACAACACAUGGGGGGGAUUUACUGGGAAUGGAUCACUGCAGCUAACAGACCCAAAUAUAAUAGAUCCAAGGUCUCAAGGUCCAGUUCACCAAGUCUGUAGCUCCAAUGACAUUCAAGUGGAAUUGGUCCAUAAAUUUUUCAGAUUCACUCAGUCCAUUUGAAUAUGGUAAUGAACUGUCUGCAGCAUGUUUUUUUUUUCUGCUCAGGGCUAGACUGCGCCGUCUCAUCCUGAUAGCCUUUAAUUAUGUUCAUACACAGAUGAUGAUGAGCCGAGAGCUGCAGGGACGCUACUUAUAAGUUUAUUGUUGGGUCAAUUCCUGACAGCUGUGAUUCCAAUUUCACAGAAUGUUUUCACUUUACAGUCUGUAGAAAGCAGACUGAGUGCAGUACAGCACAUGAGGGGUAAUGAUGUAUUAUCAUGUCACUGCUCUUAAAGUAUUACCAGGCUGAAUGUGAGGGAGUGUUUUUUAUACCUCUUUUAAAUACUGAAGUGCAAUUACCAGCAGCUCUCAAAAGACUUCUUCUAACUGUGCAAGACUGUCUGCGAAUCAGACAUUUCAGCUUCAGGGUUAAUUUGCAUAGUAAGGAAGUUAUUUUGCACCAUUAGUGCACAAAGAUGCUAUUUGUAGUGCUGUUUAGGGUGCAUUUGCAUGGUUCAAACAACAUGUAUAUCUUUAGAGAAGAAGGCGCCAAAACAGAGAGACCACUGAGCGGUUAAAGAUCAGGAAGAUUUCUGCAGACAUUAGGCCCGGACUACACGUAUAUAGAUAUUUAUUUAUCAGGAUAUUUUUGUACUCCCGUCUAAAUAAAUGUAUCUGUCCACACGUGUUAGUUCUCAAAAAUAUCUGCGUCCACAUGUAGCCUUCAAACUCAAUCCUAUCUGGUGCCGCUUAAAAAAAAUUCAGGAACAAAGCUACCUGAUUGGCCGAUGAAUCGUAACAGCGUGAUGCGUCAUGCAUUGUUUGCGGAAGCUAUGCUAGUGCGGCGGGUCCAUGUGACGGUGUGGCGGCUAUAACAAAGCAGACGCCUCUGUGAGCUGGCUGACUGGUGGAUGUAAUUGUAUAAAACAAGGUUCACUUGCAAGGCUGAAAUUAGCCUCAAAAGGGCAAAACAGACGUAAAGAAUACCCUGUCUGUCCGCCGUCGUUGUUGUUGUUGUUUUUCUUUUUAAUUCGCAUGCGCGAGCUGCGGUUUGACGUCAUCGAUCCGUAAAAGUUCAACCACUUACAUGGAUAUUUUUUUAUGUCUCCGCUUGUUUUUUCGGAUUCAGAUUUAUCCGGUUUGAGUGUUCCAAACUCCCGUUUUGUCCUAAUCGGACAUAAAUAUGUGCGGUUUGAAAUAUAUCCGCAUUCGUGUAGUCGGGGCUUUAGUGGAAGACAAAAAAGCAGGAUAGCAUGAUUCCUGGUGAAUGACCGAACAGGCUCGUUGUCAGUUGAUGCAGGGUUGUUACUGUCUCCUCACACCAAGUGCAAGUAAAAUCAUUCGUGCGAAUGGCAAAGACGUGAUUAGAGGCUUCUGCUACUCUGACGGCGCGAAUGAAGCAAAUUGGGCGGGAGCUUAAAAUGUCUCAACUUGUGCGCAUAUUCGAGUCGCAAUAGCUGAUCAGCACAAAGGUUGUCGGGUGACCUAUAAAAACGGAUGGUUGUUCACUGGUAUCUAAAAUGAAGGACAAACUGAUCAUGUCAGUGACUGAAACCGGAAUAAGAAGAAGCUCGUCUGGGGGCAAGUGAGUCAGGAGGUUGGAUUAACUGGUUAUACGAUACAAUACUAUACAAUUUUAUUUGUAGAGCACGUUUAAAAACAACCAAGUUGACCAAAGUGCUUUACAUAGACAUUAUAAAACAAACAAAAUCAACACUCAGCGAAAUACAAGAGCAGACCGAAUAAAUGCAAUUAAGAAGUAAACAAGAAACAGACAAUAUGUGAUUAGGGUUGUGUUGAAAGCCAAAGAAUAAAAGUGCGUUUUCAGACGUGAUUUAAAAAUAGCUAGAGUGGGGGGGUGUACUGUUAACACGUCUAGAUUCGCAAGAUUUAAGUAGAUAAUUUUACUCACACUUGGUGUUAGCACCACAUAGGGAAUACAAUCUAACCUUGCACCGCUACAACACAGUAAAAUUCAUUUAAAUAAGUGUAUUUGUUGAACAUUUUCCUUUAAAGCAUCUCAAAGCUUAUGAAUUCUUGAGGAUAUGAGGGUCCAGACGUCUUCCCUUAGUGCUUCACUUGGAAAAUUACGCCUCCAUUGUUGGAUAAGUGCUGCUGCAUUCUAGAUCUGUCUAAUUAUAUACUCUGUGAGAUGACUUCUAAAGCCACAUUACUGGAUAUAAUCCGGUUUUAUUGGUGCACCUCAGAAUCAUUCUUGUUAAUGAACUUGUAAAGUAAUUAUGUCGGCACCUAAAACAAAGUCCUCGCUCCAGAUCAGACAAACACCACCUAAUGUUAUCCCAUUUAAACACACGAGUAAACCACAGCGACACUUGCAGCUAUACAAGGCUUUAAAAAGUCUCUACUGCCGGCUCUCCAAGAUCGUUUCCAGCGGAAGUUAAAGGAGAUAGAAAAUAAAAACAAAGCGUUUGACGUCCAUGAAAACACGAGGAUCUUGCAGGCAUCCUCCAGUGUGGCAAACAGCCAUGUUAGCUGACAUUUCCCCACCAUUGAUUCCCAUCAUUGGUUCAACCUUUGCGAGUGCUUUGGUCUGACCUACACAGACUCCACGGGGGAGGCACAAUGCCACUGAGACUCACACAAAGCGGCCUCCUAUCGAUCAGCGCUUUGCCUAAAAAUAAAGUCAGGGCCGCGCAAUGACAGAGAGGCGAGCGAAAAGCCGGCGUCUGCUAAUCAAUUGUGACCUAGAAUUUUAUGUCCUGAAUCGAUGCAUCAUGCUUUUCUCCUGCGAUCUAAUGAUUCUCUUGGAUGUGUCGGUCUCUCGCUCCGUUGGGGAGACAAAAUGUCAGGUGGAUAAAAUUGUUGUUGUUGCUCCUUGUUUUGAUGUUUUUGUGGGUAAAUUGCUUGUUUUGUGCAGUUGGAGCUAAAUUAUAGAUGUGUAGGGAUGUGUUAGCCGAAACAAAUUUGCAACCAGAUGUGACCUUUUCCAGGCAGAGUAAAAAUUUAACAGGCGCUGAGGCAGAUUUACAGGUUUGAGGUUUUAAUUGCUAACUGGUCAUUCUUCCACCUGUUCUUUCUCUUCUUGUUCACUGUCUCUCUCGUUUUACUCCUCCUAUCUCUGUCUCUCUGCUUGCGUCUCGCAGCAGGAGCCCUGCUUCGCUCAAGGCUACGCGCUAUCUCCCCCGUAUUCCUCUCCGGUGAAUAUUUUAUCUCCCCUUUCAAGUAUCAUUUUUGUACCCACAGAGGGGCCCUGUGUCCCGCGGUGGUUCUCCCCACGCUCGUCGUUGUGAAACAUCUCUGUUUCAGACAAGGUGACAAUCUGUUUGCACAUUUCAGGAGGGCUUUUGAUCAGAGGAUGCAGAUCAGGAGUGUGGAUUUUUUUAUCGUCAACAGGCGCUCAUGAAAGAGGGAUGAGGGCAAACGCUGGUCAGCUGGCACAGAGCCGUGGAAGACGAUGCUGUUAAUAUUUACCGUAUAGCCUUUGUAGCCCUUGAGCUUUAUGAGAAAACUAAUUAUUGUUCUCUUCUCUUCCUCCAUGUCCUCCUCCUCCUCCUCCUCCGUUCUUUAUGCGUCAUUGCCCAGACUGACGGUGAUUUAAGCCGUCAGACUUUUCAAGACCCCAAAUUCUCGACUUAGUGAGUCACAUUUCGGAUCAGCGGAUCCCACUUGUUUGCAUUUGCCCAAUUUAUAUCCUCAGGCGGCGCUUCCUGCAUGCACAAUGGUAAUAGUCCAAUUUGGUUUUUGGCAGAUAGCGAACAGGAGGAAAUGGAAAAAGAGAGAUGGAAGAGAAAUAUGCUAACGUCAGUGAUUAUGGAAUAAUAGGGAAAAGGGGGGAAAGCAGGGAAGGGGACAAAAUCUCAAGAGCAAUCUUGAGCGUAUUCAUAGAGUUAUAUUUAAAUCAAUAUAUGUGUUUAUUCACAAAUGUUUUAUUCAUUGAGCACGUUCUCAGUGGAGGAAAAAAAAUCAGCUUUAAGUUGCUUCAGCAGAGCUUCAGCCCGGGUAUUUAUCUCGCCCGACACAAACCUGUGCAGAUCUGUUUCUCUAUUUUGAGUGCAUGUUCACGUUCCUUCACAACGAUUGCAUGCUGGGACUGACGUGUGUCUUUUUGCAAGAAUGUAAGUGUCACAAAGAUUCUGAUCAAUCAUAUGAAUCACAUAAGGCCGUCCGGAGCCCUUCAGCGUAUAUCAGGAUUAGCCAUCAAGCUUUACGUUACACCUCAGAGACAGAGAGCAAAAGAGACAAGAAGAUAAGAAGCAGCGGCAUAAAUAAAAUUAAGGUAAAGAAAUAAUAAAUAAAAGCUGAGGCAUAAAUCAUUUAGGUUCCCACCAUUCAAAGAAACCAAUACAUCACCCACUCAGUGGCAUGUAGAGCAGCCAGCCAAGACACCAGAUCUGGGUUGGGAUUCAGAGGAAAACAAAAUCUGGGUUAGCGAGUGAUUUAAAAAUGCUGAAACCACCAGAAAAACGGCCUUUGAUAGAUUCACAUGUUCAGCACUAACAGCUGGGAAACUAGGGUACAAACAUGCACAGUGUGCCACGAGCUGUGGAGCCGAACUGGAACUGGUCCUGAACUGCACUCCCACAAGCUGUUAUUAUUGUAGACACUGAUUUCUCUCCGUUUUACUUCUGACCUCAUUGAAUGAAAGAGUGCGACUGUAAAUCUCAGCCUGUGCCACCAAUGAAUUCAGUUUUAACGGAGCAUUUAGAAAUAUAUUUAAUGGAGCUGUCAGUGUCUUAUUUUAUGGUUUCUUUAUAUUCAUCUUUUUCCUUUCUCUAAUGUAAAGCACAUUUUAACCGUAAAAGGUGUCAUAAAAUUAUGUUGACUUACUUACAUCAAAAAAUGUCCAGACAGCUCUUGACAUGAUAAAAGUAUUGCACACUUUGUGUCAAAUGGCAUGGAUACAAGGGUGACCGUAUUCUGACCUCCCAAAAAGAGGACACGACUAUGUGAAGGCUGAGUCAAGGAGUCGCACUGAGUUAAUUUUGAGAGUUUUUGGGGGUCAGAUCGAGUGUCAUUUACAUGCUUCUAAUUCAGUAAGCCCACGCGACACAAAAUCGAAACUUAUGUACAAAACUAUGGACAUUCAAAAAGGAUUUUAUAAACUUCCCCAGACAAAGCCAGACAAACCCGAA